rnacentral:rRNA from 1 species
AACGCUGGCGGCGUGCUUAACACAUGCAAGUCGAACGGAAAGGCCCUGCUUUUGUGGGGUGCUCGAGUGGCGAACGGGUGAGUAACACGUGAGUAACCUGCCCUUGACUUUGGGAUAACUUCAGGAAACUGGGGCUAAUACCGGAUAGGAGCUCCUGCUGCAUGGUGGGGGUUGGAAAGUUUCGGCGGUUGGGGAUGGACUCGCGGCUUAUCAGCUUGUUGGUGGGGUAGUGGCUUACCAAGGCUUUGACGGGUAGCCGGCCUGAGAGGGUGACCGGCCACAUUGGGACUGAGAUACGGCCCAGACUCCUACGGGAGGCAGCAGUGGGGAAUAUUGCACAAUGGGCGGAAGCCUGAUGCAGCAACGCCGCGUGCGGGAUGACGGCCUUCGGGUUGUAAACCGCUUUCGCCUGUGACGAAGCGUGAGUGAAGGUAAUGGGUAAAGAAGCACCGGCUAACUACGUGCCAGCAGCCGCGGUGAUACGUAGGGUGCGAGCGUUGUCCGGAUUUAUUGGGCGUAAAGGGCUCGUAGGUGGUUGAUCGCGUCGGAAGUGUAAUCUUGGGGCUUAACCCUGAGCGUGCUUUCGAUACGGGUUGACUUGAGGAAGGUAGGGGAGAAUGGAAUUCCUGGUGGAGCGGUGGAAUGCGCAGAUAUCAUGAGGAACACCAGUGGCGAAGGCGGUUCUCUGGGCCUUUCCUGACGCUGAGGAGCGAAAGCGUGGGGAGCGAACAGGCUUAGAUACCCUGGUAGUCCACGCUGUAAACGGUGGGGUACUAGGUGUGGGGUCCAUUCCACGGGUUCCGUGCCGUAGCUAACGCUUUAAGUACCUCGCCUGGGGAGUACGGCCGCAAGGCUAAAACUCAAAGGAAUUGACGGGGCCCCGCACAAGCGGCGGAGCAUGCGGAUUAAUUCGAUGCAACGCGUAGAACCUUACCUGGGUUUGACAUGGAUCGGGAGUGCUCAGAGAUGGGUGUGCCUCUUUUGGGGUCGGUUCACAGGUGGUGCAUGGCUGUCGUCAGCUCGUGUCGUGAGAUGUUGGGUUAAGUCCCGCAACGAGCGCAACCCUUGUUCACUGUUGCCAGCACGUUAUGGUGGGGACUCAGUGGAGACCGCCGGGGUCAACUCGGAGGAAGGUGGGGAUGACGUCAAGUCAUCAUGCCCCUUAUGUCCAGGGCUUCACGCAUGCUACAAUGGCUGGUACAGAGAGUGGCGAGCCUGUGAGGGUGAGCGAAUCUCGGAAAGCCGGUCUCAGUUCGGAUUGGGGUCUGCAACUCGACCUCAUGAAGUCGGAGUCGCUAGUAAUCGCAGAUCAGCAACGCUGCGGUGAAUACGUUCCCGGGGCUUGUACACACCGCCCGUCAAGUCAUGAAAGUUGGUAACACCCGAAGCCGGUGGCCUAACCGUUGUGGGGGAGCCGUCGAAGGUGGGA